AGCGAACGCUGGCGGCGUACUUAACACAUGCAAGUCGAACGAGGAUCAUCGGCGUAGCAAUACGUCGGCGGUCUUAGUGGCGUACGGGUGAGUAACACGUGGGCAACCUGCCCUCGAGCUCGGGAUACCCUUUCGAAAGGAAGGCUAAUACCGGAUACGCUCCUCGGGUCGUUGGAUCUGGGGAGGAAAGGUAGCGAAAGCUGCCGCUCUUGGAGGGGCUCGCGGCCUAUCAGCUAGUUGGUGAGGUAACGGCUCACCAAGGCUAUGACGGGUAGCUGGUCUGAGAGGACGACCAGCCACACGGGAACUGAGACACGGUCCCGACUCCUACGGGAGGCAGCAGUGGGGAAUUUUCCGCAAUGGGCGAAAGCCUGACGGAGUGACGCCGCGUGGGGGACGAAGGCCUUCGGGUUGUAAACCCCUGUCAGAGGGAAAGAAGGGUGUCGGUGUGAAUAGCGCCGGCAUCUGACGGUACCUUCAGAGGAAGCCCCGGCCAACUCUGUGC
rnacentral:rRNA from 1 species